GCAGAUCCUCUUGUUACGGUCUCAGUGGAGGAAGUCAGUACCAUCUCUUUCAUAAAUCUCAAUCUAUUUGAGGACAUCCUUCAACUUUAUCUUUAGAGAGAAUGGCCACAUUCUGCUGGCUGUGACCCAGUCUCUCCAGAGCCCAGCCGUGGACAUAAAAUUUGGAAAAGGGCCUGGCGAAUGCCACGUCUAGAGAAGGAUCAUUUCCUGGGGCUUUUGGGUUAUGUUCCUAUUAAUAUAAAUCAUCGUCUCCAUUUCAGAAGAAGAACCAAAACACAUCUGAUCUGCUCUUAAAGGAAACUCAAUUGUGACAAGCAGAGGAAACUAAAGAGAUCUGAGCUGAAAAGGAUCAUACCAGAUUUAUUUCAUUGCUGUAGAGCCAGUCCCACCACACUGCCUGGGCACAUAGAAGGCAUGUUUUGUUAAUUUAUGCAGUCAAUACAAACUAAUUGAUUGCAGAUCUUCAAUCCUUUGUAAUUCCAAACUCCCAAAAUGCUCUGAAAACCAAAAGAUUUUCUGUAAGCUGGCAGCAAGCUCAUUGAACUCACCGGAACGGAUGCAUGGCAGUCCCCAGUCUUUAUGAUCUGCCUUAAUUGUGACUACAGUCUUCUCCCCUCAUCCAUAGUUUCUUUUUCCGAGGCUUCUGUUACCAAUGGUCAACAACAGUCCAAAAAUAUUAAAUGGAAAAAUCCAGAACUAAAA
rnacentral:lncRNA from 1 species